UCUUGCCGGUCUGAACCAACUCACAGCACUCUGCCACGGUUCCAACUUUGUUGUUCUUGUGGAAGUACUAUCGCUGUCUUAAUACCAGGGGUAUGCUGCUGUGAGAUCGAGAUAGGCAAUCAGAGGGGGUGAAUGAUUGCGCGGAAGCAAAUUAAAACUUUUCCUGAAAGUUCAAAUCCUAAAUCACCUUUCUGUCCGUGAUAGUAAAACAGCCGUAACUUUUGAUUGGAUGAACCAAAAAAUACGUAUGAGUAUGGAAAAGAAAGGUAUUAAAAUUAUCUAACCAACGCAACAAGAAUCAGCUCAAUCGGACUUACCAAUCAAAAGAUAUGAUCAAAAUAGUAACAGCUGACAGAAAGUUACAAGGAUUAAUUUAAAACCAAUUUCGACAAAUAACAAGAAAUAUGAAUUAAUCGCAAUCUUCUCUUGAUCUCGUGAUAAACCUGCAGCAAAGUAUUAUGAGCUUGUGAUGAACCUGCACCAAAGUAUUAGAAAGAUCUAGCACGAAGAUUUCACGAAGAUCCGAGAAGAACAGAGAUGACACCGCCAACGAAUCUCUUUAUUGCAACGAUGUCGAUCGAUUACAAAAGAUGCAACCAUGCAUCCAAGAACUCUCCAAGAAUUGAUCUAGAUCCAAAGCUUUGAGUUCCCUCACGUCCUUGCUAAAACCCUACCUAUGAUGCCCUCUAUUUAUAAGGGAAAAUUCGCAACUCUAAACCGAAUCCAAAUCCAACACGGACUCCUCUGUCCCGGUCAGUAUUUUGCCCGUGGGGCCCGCAUACGACCUCGGAUUGAGAUGACUCCAAAAGCAAAGUUGUUCGUCUCGACGACGCGCACAACUUUCAUGUGGAUCACUUUUCCAUCCAACGCCAUCUUGAUGACGCUACUGUUUAAUCUUUAAACAGCUCUCAUCCAGCCACGGCUGGACCUACAUAUCUUCACCUCGAUGUCACUUCAUGCCAUCAACUCUUCUUGUGAUGUCUUCAAAACUCGACCAUCACGUAUCGAAUAUCUCCAAUACCGUACAUCUCCGGUAUAAACAACAUACGACAAACCGGUGCCCUCCCGGAUCAUCGUAACCUUCACUUCCAUUGUUCCUUCGCACGAACGUCCCGCAUGACCUUAAUCCUCGACCUCAGCUUCCCAAGCUUCGUCUCUCGAUCCCUUCAUCGACCACGUUCUUCUAGCUCCGGCAACACCUGAAAGCGAACACACAAAUAACCAGUACGAGCACAAGUCCACGACUUAACUCAGGGUAAGUUUCACACAACUCACGCCAUGUUUUCACAUAAGAAACUAAUGGAUCAGCACACCACUAGCAAAGCACUAAGUCCAAACAAGAUACAUGUCAUCACUUAAAUAUCCAUAUUAUCCAAAGUAUCCACAUCAAUGUUUCAUCUAAAACACUUGCCAAUGUUACACAUCACAUAUGAUUUCACAGCUGCCGAAGAAAAAAUUUCACCUGCCUUCCUAUGAAUCCAUUCUCUGCCAAAAACAUGCCAUGGAAACUAGAGACCAUCUCCUUAUUCACUGCCCUUUUGUGUUAGCUUGCUGGACAUACCUCUGUCCUCAAUUUGCACCUGCCAAUAAUGUUCAUCAGAACUUCAGGAAUCUGAAAGAACAGCUCCGAGUCCCAUCUGCAUUUGAGAUUGCUGCACUGGCAUCCUGGAGCAUCUGGAAAGUCAGAAAUGACUGCGUCUUCAACGGGGUUCAAACGUCCCUUUAUAGAGAUGCCGGAGAAUUUUUAUUGAAGAAAUGAAUCUUGUUUUUCGUAGAGCUAAACAAAGUCCUAUGCUAGGCUAAAGGACUCGUUAGCUAGAUUUCUUUGAUUUCCGGGUAUUUGGUAACAACUUUGGUUAUCAUUUUGUACAACAAUUUUUUAUUUAAUAUAGUCGCAGUAGAUCUUUUGAUCUACUGUUUUUCCUCAAAAAGGAAAUACUAUCGCUGUGUCGUUGCGGCGCUCCAUUGCUAAGAGGGUUUUCGCGGGCACGUGUACGGCUCGCUACGGUUGUAGCUUCCUUCCAGCGUCAUCUCUCAGUUGCUCUUCUUUGUUGGGCCGCGCAGGCGGCAUGUCGAGGAGAAAUCCGAGAUAGAGACCUUUCGUACCGGCCGGAGAUAGAGAGAGUCAUACGAUUUGUGAAUGUAUAGACAUUGCUGGAGGAAGGCUACACGAUGCACGAAGAGAACAAAGAACCAUGCAUAUAUCGGACUGGCCGACUGGGAUCAUACUACGGCCACGCAAAGUUUUGGCCGCGCGCUGAGGAAAUGAAAGAAAGCACUAGACGAAAACCACAAUAUUUCUAUUUCCCCAACAGGAACAUAGCUCUUUUACGGUCAUCGUUGAGUACUUUCCGGUACUUUUCAGUACUCCCUCGGAAUUAAUUAUGUCCGUUGAUUUGUACUCGUUGUUUUCCUGGGCCGCAACUGAAAAAUGAGCUGUUUUGUUUUGGGCCGCCUGAUGUCAUGCUCGUUUCUCUCUGGCGACGCCUCCCUGUCCCUGUGCAUCGAUCCUCUUCGUCGUCCCUGUCCUGCUGCCAGAGCGAGAGGCCCCUCCACCGCCGGAGCCCUUCUCAUCAACCACCGGCACGCCGCCCCUCUGCCACCCGGGAAAGAGAGCGGUGGCGGCGUGCAUGCACAGUAACCGUAGAGCGUAGGUGGUGGGCAGGGUGGGUAGAGGCGGGGUGGCUGCAGCUCAUGUUUGCCGUCGCGGUGUUCUGCUACUAUACCGGUGAUAGGCCAGCACCUGCAGCGGCGUACGAUGGCCGUGCGGGGGUUACCCCGACAUCAGCGCCCUCUCAGGGAGGACCCGAUAUUGCAUGAAAGGGAAAAAUUGAUGAUUUCGGUUACAAAUUGAAAACGAUCAAGGUGAUAAUACGGGCGGAAAAUAGCAGAAUCGGUUCGUGGGGUGAUGGAUUAACGAGAAAAGGUUGGGAACAAGGCAAUUGAAGGGGAGAUGAACCAGCGGCUGUACCGGAGCAAAGUGCCAGAGGAGGAAGACGAGAUUGGGGAUUGGGGGCUGGUUAGGAAGAUGGGCCAGAAGAGAGGGGUGAGGCCCAGUUGAAAUAAGAGGGGUGAGGCCCAGUUGCAACAUCAAAUAUUCCACUAAAUCCUUUUAGUUAAAAAAUAAAUCGAUUAUUUUGGUACUUUCCAGUACUUUUCAGUACUUUAUUUAGUACUUUCUAGUACUUUAUAUUUCUCCACCUUUGGAUCAACUACGUUGGACGGUCCUAAAAUCGCCAACCAUUGUAAAACUUGUAAUAGGAAUAACCUAUUUAUGGAGACAUCAAUUAUAUGUAUCAUCACUCCACAUUAUCUGCUCACCGUACCCUAACUUUUAUGGAGACAUCAAUUAUAUCCUUGCCUUACAAGUUACAAUAACUAUUUCUCCCAUACCACUAAGCUAUAUAUACUGGUAUAUAUAUACCCUCACAUGACCGCCUAAAAAAAGGCGUCUGUAAAAGAAUUAACCCGCUUUCAAGAGAAAUAAAUGAUUCAAUGAUCAAAUAAUAAUACUAGUCUAUUAUGGUUCGAGAGGAGGUAGCAGGAUCCACUCAAACAUUACAGCGGAAGUGUGUUGAAUCAAGAGUAGAUAGUAAGCGUCUCUAUUAUGGUCGUUUCAUUCUGUCCCCGCUUAUAAAAGGUCAAGCGGAUACCAUCGGUAUUGCCUUGCGAAGAGCUUUACUUGGAGAAAUAGAAGGAACAUGUGUCACACGUGCAAAAUUUGGAAGCGUGCCACACGAAUAUUCUACAAUAGCGGGUAUUGAAGAAUCCGUACAAGAAAUUUUAGUAAAUUUGAAAGAAAUUGUAUUGAGAAGUAAUCUCUAUGGAGUUAGAGACGCAUCCAUUUGCGUCAAAGGUCCCAGAUGCAUAACUGCUCAAGAUAUCAUCUUACCACCUUCCGUAGAAGUCGUUGAUACGGCACAGCCUAUAGCUAACUUGACCGAGCCCAUUGAUUUCUGUAUUCAGUUACAGAUCAAGAGAGAUCGUGGAUAUCAGACGGAACUUAGAAAGAACUAUCAAGAUGGAAGUUAUCCUAUAGAUGCUGUAUCCAUGCCUGUUCGAAAUGUGAAUUAUAGUAUUUUUUCUUGUGGGAAUGGAAAUGAAAAACACGAGAUACUUUUUCUCGAAAUAUGGACUAGGGGAAGUUUAACCCCUAAGGAAGCGCUUUAUGAGGCUUCUCGUAAUUUGAUUGAUUCAAGUCUCCUCCGCACCCAAAUAACAAUGUUAUAUCGCAGGCUCAGCUUUUGGCUUCUUGGUUACUCGUAAUUAAGCAUGUGGGGUGUCGGGAAAUUUGUAACAAUGCAUAGGGCUAAUUGCGCAGAGGUAGGUGGUGCAAAAGCGUAGACGGGUGGAAAUCCUCGAAGCGUGAAGACGAUCGAAGGAUGCCGAUGCAUUUCUAGACCCGGACGAGACAGAACACGAAUAGAACAGAUGGCCUCGGUCUUCCGGUUAUAAUCCGGCCGAGGAUUAUAAGUAAUACUGGAAAUGCCCGUGCGCUGCCACGGUCCAAACACAAGAUGGU
rnacentral:lncRNA from 1 species